UACGUAGGGUGCAAGCGUUGUUCGGAAUUACUGGGCGUAAAGGGCGCGUAGGCGGCCUGUUAAGUCGAACGUGAAAUCCCUGGGCUCAACCCAGGAACUGCGUCCGAUACUGGCAGGCUUGAAUUCGGGAGAGGGAUGCGGAAUUCCAGGUGUAGCGGUGAAAUGCGUAGAUACCUGGAGGAACACCGGUGGCGAAGGCGGCAUCCUGGACCGAUAUUGACGCUGAGGCGCGAAAGCCAGGGGAGCAAACGGG
rnacentral:rRNA from 1 species